rnacentral:lncRNA from 1 species
AGAAGUUUGAUUAUUAAACAAUCAAUCAUGGCGGAUUCUAAAUUGUAUUUACCUUUCCUCGUGGUUUUUCUCUUGAUAUGUCAACGUUCAUAUGCUAGACCGCUUAAUGUUUUAGCCGGUGAAAAUAUUGUACUUGUGAGUAGCCAGGACUCAAAGUCAUGGUCCGAUCAGACAUAUUUCGAUGAAGAUAUGAUGAUGAAGGUGAGAAGGGAACGUGUGAAUAUGUUAUUACACAGGCUUCCUAAAGGGAAGAAACCGGUGUCUGGACCAAGUAAAAGAACCAACAACCUCAAUGACUAGCUUAUGAGUUCGAAUUGAAACCUCUAAUUCUUUCUUUUUUAUUGUUUGCGGAUUCUGUUGUAAAUAUCACCUUAUGUCGAUUUGUAUGUGUUGCAGCUAAUUCCUUUGUAGUUCAUACUGGCUUCAAAUUUGAUUAAA